GAAAUGGAGAUGUUUGCUGAAAGCUGCAGUACUAUGAAUCUGCAUUAAUUAUUGGUGAUACAUAAACCAUGAUUAGCAUUAAUAAAAUAGGUAGAGUUUAAGUGAAUAGAGGUCUGGGUUGUUAGAAAUGCAGUAGAGUUUUCAGAUGCUCACGUGAUUCAGACUUUCUUUAGAGGUCUGAUGCUCACAAACAUCAUCAGAGAUCAGAGCCGGUCUGCUGAGCACUUGUGGAUGAAAACACAAUAUCUAGAUAUUAUCCACACUUUUGCUGGAUUCACUGUCAGUCAUAAAAUGUGUCUCAUUCAGACAAACAUGAGGCGUUCCGCCUGAAUUCAUCAUUCACCAGCUGCACAAACUCUUCACAGCUGUAGAAACAUCACACACGUCUCAUCAGAACUGUGAAGCUGCUUAUUUCAGUGUGAAUAUAUCAAAUUAACACAUUCCUGAUGUGUGAACUGAACAUAUGAAGAGAUGAAUCUGUGUUAGUGCUUGCGUUUGUGUCUAUGUUUGUGCCCAUAUUCAUGUUUGUUUCCUCAUAUAAUGCGGAGCCAAACCAUUCAGGGCUUUAUAAGUAAUUAGCAAGAUUUUGAAAUCUAUACGAUGUUUAAUAGGUAGCCAGUGUGUAACGUUUGAGCUGAUGAGACAUGAGGCAAGCAGAUCCAAGUGCAAGCUUUUAUUUCCAGACAGUCAAAAACACAGACAGGGUCAAAACGAUGGCAAACAGAAUAAUCAAAAACAGGAGUGGUCAAUCUCCAGCAAACAAUAUCCAGACAGGGUAAUCCAAAGGGUAAAUACAACAAUACAAAAGCAAGAAUCAAAAACCAGGUAUACAAUCCAAUAACAAAACACGAAGGCAAGACAAGGCAGGAAACAAGACAACAUGGGCUAAACAACACUCAGCCGUGAAUGGUGGUGUGAGACUGAGUUAUAUACUCACAGGAUAACGAGGUAACAAGGAGGGAGGAGCUAAUCAAUUAUUAUAGAAACUAACAAGAUGGGCAAAAGAACAAGGGAACACAAAACAAUGGGGAACAAGAACAUUUCAAAAUAAGUGUCCACAAAACCAAGACAGGGGAACAUAGACUGGGAUCCUGACACAGUGCAGUGUUGACAGGACCGGGCUAAUAUGAUCAUACUUCCUGGUUCUAGUAAGAACUCUAGCUGCUGCAUUUUGGACUAACUGGAGUUUGUUUACUAAGCGUGCAGAACAACCACCCAAUAAAGCAUUACAAUAAUCUAACCUUGCGGUCAUAAACGCAUGGAUUAACAUUUCUGCAUUUG
ensembl:lncRNA